rnacentral:tRNA from 1 species
GGCCGCCUGGCGAAAUGGCAUCGCGUCUGACUACGAUAUAUUGUGAUCAGGAGAUUGCAGGUUCGACCCCUGCGGUGGUCA